CCUUGGUGCCUGCUGUACACUGUGCAGCAUUGGGUGACUCCCCAGGUUGCUUAGGUGAUGGUUUCUGACAUCUGGAACAGAGGUGAAUGAAGAUAAAAGUAAAAUGGCAGCUUUGAAGGAACGCUGAGCACAUGCUAGGCAGUAUUCUAAGUCUUUCCGUGGAUUGUAUUAGUUAUCCAUCGGUCCGUAACAAAUUCCCCCAAAACAUAAGCAACGAAUAGUCAGCCCUAUCCAGUGUGGAAGGGGACUACACCAGGACAUGAAUAUCACUGGGGCCAUCUUGGAGGCUAGCUACCCAUGUAUUACCUCACUUAACUCUCAAAAUGUGCCGGAGAAGCCUUCAUUGAAGAGACUGAAGUGAAGAAGGAGGUGCUAGGUGUGGGAGAUGCAGAUUUCAGAGGUUCUAGAGACGUCCCUCCACGCCAGCAUGUGCAAUGUGAGCGUCGUGCCUCCUCGUCUGACGGCAGCGAUGUCUCCAGUGGAGAAGCCCCAUCAGAGGUGGUUAGUGAAUUGUUCCCGGCUUUGUCACUUCCAAGCCAGAGUCUUCAGCCCUGCAGCAGAUUCUGUGAGCUACCAAAUGAUGCCUACCACAGCAUGGCUUGCCAAGCGGUGCCAUGUCCGCACCCGGGAUCCAAACCGGCGAACCCCAGGCCACUGAGAAGCGGAACAUGUGAACUUGACUGCUGUGCCACCGGACUGGCCCAGAGCCUCUGCUUUUAAGGCCCGCUGGAUAAUACAGGAUAAUGUCCCCAUCAAGAAGACUCCAUGUUCAUUGUUGAAGAAAUUAGAAGAUUCAGGAAAGCCACAUAGAGUGACUGAGGGCAAGCCUCAUAAGCAAUGAGCCUUAGUGUCUAAAAAAUGUCAAAGGGGAACCAAAAUUAUGUCCGCGGAGUACAAAGAGUUUGUAUGUGCAGAUCUGCUCAUUGUAGCAUUGUUUAUGCUGGUGAGAAAUUAGAAACAAAUGGCAUGUCCAUCAACAGGGGAUUGGUUAAAUAAAUUUGGUGCGUCCAUACAAGGUCCAC
rnacentral:lncRNA from 1 species